CAACGCUGGAGUGGAAACAACGCCAGAUAACGCCCGGCAGACGCCCAUUUUUAUCAGUGAAGUUCUAGAAUCAAGUGUGUCAUGUCCCGUUAUUUUUAUUAGCUAGGGCAAUAGCAUCAGCAGUAUGGACCAUAGUUUUGCAAUUGCCACUGGUCCAUGGUGUAAAGUGAUUGUUCAGUGGAUACCAAGGACUUUGGAAUUCUUUUUCAUUGUUACUCCACUAUGGAUCCCUCUUAAGUCUCCAGUGAUAUCGGUCCUGAUACCGUAAUUUACCAGCUCUUUACCAGAAAAAAUGUAAAUGAGGCCUACAUUCUACAAUUAAAUGAUGUUUCAUUACUAGAACAGUCAAAUUAUAACAAAAGUCUUCCAACUAAAAUAUUUGCACAUGGUUGGGGUGGUUUUCCAGACCAAGGAUAUUCGUCUAAAGAUGAAUACCUACUCCAGGAGGACUGUAAUUUUAUAUCGGUGGACUGGUCUGUUCUAGCUGAAGGUGACCAUGUAACUGUUUCUUUAAUCAAUGUACCUAUAGCUGGAGCUGCAACUGGGGCAUUUGUGGAUUUUCUCAUUGGUCAAGGAACACCACUCUCAGCUUUCCACUUGAUUGGAUUCAGCAUGGGGGUUAAUAUAUUUGCAACUUGAAUAAGGAAAGUCUAGCACAGGAAACUUCAAAAAAUAAAUUUUU